rnacentral:rRNA from 1 species
GGCGGCGUGCUUAACACAUGCAAGUCGAGCGGAAAGGCCCUUCGGGGUACUCGAGCGGCGAACGGGUGAGUAACACGUGAGUAACCUGCCCCAGACUUUGGGAUAACCCCCGGAAACGAGGGCUAAUACCGAAUAUUACUUGGUCCCGCAUGGGAUUUGGUGGAAAGUUUUUCGGUCUGGGAUGGACUCGCGGCCUAUCAGCUUGUUGGUGGGGUAAUGGCCUACCAAGGCGAGGACGGGUAGCCGGCCUGAGAGGGCGACCGGCCACACUGGGACUGAGACACGGCCCAGACUCCUACGGGAGGCAGCAGUGGGGAAUAUUGCACAAUGGGCGGAAGCCUGAUGCAGCGACGCCGCGUGAGGGAUGACGGCCUUCGGGUUGUAAACCUCUUUCAGCAGGGACGAAGCGAGAGUGACGGUACCUGCAGAAGAAGCGCCGGCCAACUACGUGCCAGCAGCCGCGGUAAGACGUAGGGCGCGAGCGUUGUCCGGGUUUAUUGGGCGUAAAGAGCUCGUAGGCGGCUUGUCGCGUCGAAUGUGAAAUCUCAGGGCUCAACUCUGACAUUGCAUUCGAUACGGGCAGGCUAGAGUUCGGUAGGGGAGACUGGAAUUCCUGGUGUAGCGGUGAAAUGCGCAGAUAUCAGGAGGAACACCGGUGGCGAAGGCGGGUCUCUGGGCCGAUACUGACGCUGAGGAGCGAAAGCGUGGGGAGCGAACAGGAUUAGAUACCCUGGUAGUCCACGCUGUAAACGUUGGGCGCUAGGUGUGGGGACCCUCUCCGGGUUUCUGCGCCGCAGCUAACGCAUUAAGCGCCCCGCCUGGGGAGUACGGCCGC